rnacentral:ncRNA from 1 species
CUACAGACUUAAUUGGAUUGAGCCUUGGUAUGGAAACCUACUAAGUGACAACUUUCAAAUUUAGAGAAACCAUGGAAUUAAGAUGGACAAUCCUAAGCCAAAUCCUGUUUUACGAGAACCAACAAAACAAUAAGGGUUCAUAAAGUGAGAAUAAAAGAACGAUAGGAUAGGUGCAGAGACUCAAUGGGAGCUGUUCUAACAAAUGAAGUUGACCACGUUGCAUUGGGAAAGGAAUCUUUUUAUCAAAGCUUGAGAAAGGGAAAGGAUAAACUUAUGUAUAUAUGUAUACGU